rnacentral:rRNA from 1 species
UGGAGAGUUUGAUCCUGGCUCAGGACGAACGCUGGCGGCGUGCCUAAUACAUGCAAGUCGAGCGGACUUGCUGGAGCUUGCUCCAGCAGGUUAGCGGCGGACGGGUGAGUAACACGUGGGCAACCUGCCUGUAAGACUGGGAUAACUCCGGGAAACCGGAGCUAAUACCGGAUAGUAUCUUGAACCGCAUGGUUCAAGUUGGAAAGACGGUUUCGGCUGUCACUUACAGAUGGGCCCGCGGCGCAUUAGCUAGUUGGUGAGGUAAUGGCUCACCAAGGCAACGAUGCGUAGCCGACCUGAGAGGGUGAUCGGCCACACUGGGACUGAGACACGGCCCAGACUCCUACGGGAGGCAGCAGUAGGGAAUCUUCCGCAAUGGACGAAAGUCUGACGGAGCAACGCCGCGUGAGUGAUGAAGGUUUUCGGAUCGUAAAACUCUGUUGUUAGGGAAGAACAAGUGCGAGAGUAACUGCUCGCACCUUGACGGUACCUAACCAGAAAGCCACGGCUAACUACGUGCCAGCAGCCGCGGUA